rnacentral:rRNA from 2 species
GGAUGCGAUCAUACCAGCACUAACGCACCGGAUCCCAUCAGAACUCCGAAGUUAAGC